rnacentral:rRNA from 1 species
UACGAAGGGGGCUAACGUUGCUCGGAAUCACUGGGCGUAAAGGGCGCGUAGGCGGCUUUGUAAGUCGGGGGUGAAAGCCUGUGGCUCAACCACAGAAUUGCCUUCGAUACUGCAUGGCUUGAGACCGGAAGAGGUAAGUGGAACUGCGAGUGUAGAGGUGAAAUUCGUAGAUAUUCGCAAGAACACCAGUGGCGAAGGCGGCUUACUGGUCCGGAUCUGACGCUGAGGCGCGAAAGCGUGGGGAGCAAACAGG